ensembl:lincRNA
AUCAUAGUGUCAAUGCCUCUGACCAUGAAGUUUAUAGCUGAGUGUCUGGAAAAGAGGAAUGCUCUUUUUCAUGUUCAGCAUAAAAACACUCAUCUGCCAGGCUGGGAUGAAUGCAGGCCAUGAGGAUACCCCAUGGUUCUCCUACCACCAGAUGCUACUGAGGCUAAACUGACUGGACUGAGGAAAAAUAUCUGUGGGGAAAACUGUCUUUCAGAAUCCAACUUUGAACCAGAGAAAUCCAUUCUCUUGAAGCUGUCUGCUGUGGAGAAGUUGGCCUUACCAAUCUGCCUUUGAAGUUCAAGUUAUACAGGAUCUGCGAGGCUACCUGUGAAUGAAUGGUUGGUUGGUCACUACUUGCAAGUUUUUCAGGAGCUCCUGAAAGAUUACUGCAUAAAUAAGGGAGGAUGGAGACCAGACCUCUGGCUACUGUUGCUGCCACCACCACAGCCACCACUUUCACCCUUAUGAACCCCCUAUUUACUGAACACUUUCUAUAUGCCAGAGCCUGUGUCAUUGGUCUUAGCCUUCAGGUGAUUGGAUCAGAGAAUGUAAUCAACUGCUCAAACCUGGCUUUAGUCAAAUCUAGACAAAAUAAAUUACAGGAUAGAGACAUCAUCUUAGAUUACCUUUCAAAAAUUGACACUCAAGACAGAGGAGAUUAGAAUUUUAUCUACCAAAUUAGUUG